CGUGAGGCUCGAUGCUUCUCUAUGAGGCCUCUACUCCUACAUGUGGAAGCCUGAGGCAGCUUUUCUGUGGGAUCACACGUCUUUACAGGUGAAAGGACUCCAAGCCAUGACCAGUUCUAUCUUUAAUUUACAGCUGUGCUGCCAAUGCCCAAGGGGUGACUGGUCUAAGAUCACCCAGAGUGUGGCCAGGACUCAGCCUUUGCCUGUGGGGCCCUCCAGCCCUCCUCACUAUGGAGCAUCCUCAGUGCAUACCUGGGACACAGAAGCAAAGGCCUGCACCGGCCUUCACCCACCGAGCCAAGCAGCUGGACUGUCACACUCAGAGAUGGGCACAAAAGCAGAUGAUACAGUGAGAAGUCUGCAUCCUGGAAGAGCGUGCUCACCGGACCCUGCUGGCACCCUGACCUUGGAUGUCCAGCCUCCAAAACUGCAAUGGCGAGCCGUUGGGCAUCUAAAGAGGAAAGGGCUGUGCUCAGAGCAGCACCUGAGGAAGAUGUAGUGGGCGGCCAAGUUUCAGAAGAAUUGAGGAGAAAAGAAUCCAGCAGGCUAAGAGAGUUCUCCUUUCGGCAAACUCCCUCUAUAACUUGGCAUUCUCAGGCCUCUACAUUUUUGCCAACCACAUGGAUGUGAAUCAACAUUUCAUUGUAAUAUUAACUUGCAUUUCCCUGAGGACCCAGCCCAUGGCAGAAAGGCUUGUGCCAGCAUGGACACACACAAGACUGGGUCUCCUGCCCAGGAAUGGUGGUUCCUGAGACAGAAGAGUCUUUGUGAAAAAGGGAGAAGAAGAACCCUGAUGUCUCCUGUGGGCUCCAGGCUGAGGAAGGAGGGAUGCCUGGCACUGAGGGGAGGCAGGGCCUGGAUUGGAGCCUCCAAGGUGCGGUGAGAGGCUUUCUAGAUUUCUGAGGCUUCUGGGGCGAAGGGGCUGGGUCCCCUGGAAGGGGAGAGAGAAAGCAGGAAUAGGGCCUUUCUCCUCUCACUGUCCUGAGGGGACCCGACAGGCUCUGCCCCCCGCCUUUUUUCUAGAAUGUGGGAGAUACUUGAGGGCACCCCAGAAAGUUGAGUCUACGGCAUAGAUAUGGAACAGAUACCAGUGGAAGUAGAGAGAGAUUGUCUUUUAAUCCUCUUUCAAUACUUCUAAUUGUAUCUGGGGGAAAGACUCCCUUUGGUCUAACCCAGUGAUUCUCAACCUGUGGGUCGUGACCCCUUUGGCGG